rnacentral:rRNA from 1 species
ACGGGGUGCAGCAGGCGCGAAACCUCCUCAAUGCACUUACGUGCGAAGGGGCUACCUCGAGUGCCAUCUGAUGAAGGUGGCUUUUCCUAGGUCUACAAAGCCUUGGGAAUAAGAGGGGGGCAAGACUGGUGUCAGCCGCCGCGGUAACACCAGCCCCUCGAGUGGUGGGGAUGAUUAUUGGGCCUAAAGCGUCCGUAGCCUGCCGUGUAAGUUUCCCGUUAAAUCCAGCGUCUCAAGCGUUGGACCGCGGGAAAUACUGUACGGCUAGAGAGUGGGAGAGGUCAGCGGUAUUCUGGGGGUAGGGGCGAAAUCCUUUGAUCCCCGGAGGACCACCAGUGGCGAAGGCUGCUGUCUAGAACACGUCUGACGGUCAGGGACGAAAGCUGAGGUAGCGAACCGGAUUAGAUACCCGGGUAGUCCCAGCCGUAAACGAUGCAUGCUAGGUGUUGGGUUGGCCACGAGCCACCCCAGUGCCGCAGGGAAGCCGUUAAGCAUGCCGCCUGGGAAGUACGAUCGCAAGGUUGAAACUUAAAGGAAUUGGCGGGGGAGCACCACCAGGCGUGAAGCCUGCGGUUUAAUUGGAGUCAACGCCGGGAACCUUACCGGGAGCGACAGCAGAGUGAAGGUCAGAUUGAAGAUCUUACCAGACGAGCUGAGAGGAGGUGCAUGGCCGUCGCCAGUUCGUGCCGUGAGGUGUUAUGUUAAGUCAUAUAACGAACGAGACCCGUGCCGCAUGUUGCCACCAGAAUCUAA